rnacentral:rRNA from 1 species
GACGAACGCUGGCGGCGUGCUUAACACAUGCAAGUCGAACGGACAGGCCCUGCUUUUGUCGCUUGCUCGAGUGGCGAACGGGUGAGUAACACAUGAGUAACCUGCCCUUGACUUUGGGAUAACUUCAGGAAACUGGGGCUAAUACCGGAUAGAAGCUCCUGCUGCAUGGAGGGGGUUGUAGAGUUUCGGCGGUUUGGGAUGGACUCGCGGCUUAUCAGCUUGUUGGUUGGGUAGUGGCUUACCAAGGCUGAGACGGAUAGCCGGCCUGAGAGGGGGACCGGCCACCUUGCGCCUGAGAUAGGGAGCAGACGCCUAUGGGCGGCAGUAGUGGGGAAUCUUGCACAGUGGCGGGAAGCCUGUUGCAGCAACGUUGCGUGCGGGAUGCCGGGCUUCGGGUGGUAAACCGCUUUCGCCUGAGAUGAAGCGGGCGUGACGGUAAUGGGUAAAGAAGCACCGGCUAACUACGUG